rnacentral:rRNA from 1 species
AGUGAACGCUGGCGGCGGGCCUAACACAUGCAAGUCGAGCGGACGGACGGUAAGAGCUUGCUUUUGCUGUUAGCGGCGGACGGGUGAGUAACGCGUGCAUCACCAUCUUAUAUUUCUUGGAUAAUUUCGGGAAACCGGUGCCACUACUACCUCAUACUACCUACGGCAUAAAUCAAAAGAGAUUCACGCUUUUGCUGAUACAUAUAGACGGUGUCGCGCUGCAUUAGCUAGUUGGUAAGGUAACGGCUUACCAAGGCUACGAUGCAUAGCCGACCUGAGAGGGUGAUCGGCCACACUGGAACUGAGACACGGUCCAGACUCCUACGGGAGGCAGCAGUAGGGAAUCUUCCGCAAUGGGCGAAAGCCUGACGGAGCAACGCCGCGUGAGUGAUGAAGGUCUUCGGAUCGUAAAACUCUGUUAUUAGGGAAGAACAUAUGUGUAAGUAACUGUGCACAUCUUGACGGUACCUAAUCAGAAAGCCACGGCUAACUACGUG